GGGGGGGGGGGGGGAGGAGCCACGCGGCUGUCCCCCCAUUGGUGAAGAAGAGGCACAUGAUGCAAGUGCCUCGGUGCGGCCGAUGUGUUCUCUACGCCCCCGCGUGAUGGACGCGCGCGGCCGGGUGGGAGCGGCGCAGGAAGGUUCCGCGCGGAUUUCGGCUGGUCCUGCUGCGCUGGUGAAGGCUCUGCGAGGUCACCGAGGAGAAGCUCCUGAAAGUGCCCGUACUUACCAAAAAACAUUAAUGUAAAGGGUAUAUAAAAUCAUAAAUAUUCUUGCUUCAAUUCUGUGCUUUUUGUUCAUCUUGAAAUGUGAAAGGAUUCAGCUCAAGGGCUGUCCUAUCUCUGUCCUGCACCCAUCGUUCUCCCUCCCUUCCACCCCUGCGAAAUGCAGCCUGAACACGGGAGCCUUGAAGACUAGGAAUAUUUGUCUCAGCAUUUGACUUGUCCAAUGGAAAAACAACUCCAAUCAUUCUUCUGAAAUGGACGCUGAAACAGCAUGGCUGUGUCUUGGAUAAUAGGAAUCUGAACUUAAUAUCCAAAAUCUGAAGGAAUUCAUUCUGUGCAGAAAUUAUUGUGGUAUAUUUCUUCUUGAAGAAUGUCCAGCAAGAAUGAAACACGUAAGACUGCAGAUUUAAAAAGGAUAAACAUUAUCUGAUACUUUAUUUAUAGAGCACCAAAGGGAAAAGGUAAAGGUUUUGUUAAAAAAAAGAGAAGCACUUUAAUUUUGUCUGACAAUUUUCCAAUAGAAUCUAAUUCAUUAGAGGAAAAAAAAAGAAGGCUAUGGGAGUUGGGAUUAUUCAGCCUGGGAAAGAGAAGCAUCCAGGGUGACCUUACUGCAGUCUUUCAGUACCUCAGGGCUCUCCAAGGGAGCUGGAGAGGGACCUUGGACAAGGGGUAAUGGCUUCCCACUGCCAGAGGGCAGGGUUAUUGGAAUAAUGAGAAGAACUUCCAUGGGAGAGUGGCGAGGCCCUGGCACGGUGUGCCCAUAGAAGCUCUUGCUGCUCCAUCCCUCAAAGUGUGCAAGGCCAGGUUGGACAGGGCUUUUGAAGCAACAUAGCCUAGUAGAAAGUGUCCCUGCCCAUGGCAGGGUAUAUAACUAGAUGAGUUUUAAGAUCCUUUCCAUCCCAAACCAUUCCAUGAUUCUGUGGUAUCCAAAGCAUGUGGUGAAAAGUUAAAUUUAAAUCUGUUCCUCAUUGGUAAAUGGCUAAAACCUGAGUUUCAUAUUUGAGUUGUUUGACCCCCAUCCCCAGUUGUGUAUGAGCCUGAGCUAACAAGUCUGCAGCUUUGGCCUGAGAACUUCACUUCCCAGAACAGCAUUUAGUUCUGUUUAUCCUCAGUUUGGCAUGUUAAGGCUAGCAAGUUGUAUCAUUCUACCUGGCAGGGAUUUCUCUGUGUGUUAGAGAAAACGCCUUGUGAAGGCAUCAAAAAAUCACUGUGCAUGUGUGUGCAGUGGCUUUUUUAAGCCUUAUCUCUGAAAAGCUGUGCACAGCAGAUCAUUGACCUGCAUGAAAGAAUUAGGAAAAUUACUGUCAAGAACUGUGUUUAGGUGUAUUAGCUUAUAACAAUCAAUGAGUCUAUUACAGAUUGUAGCAUCAUCUGUUGUGCUCAGUUUUUAUUUUGUUACAUUGUAGUCAAUGUCAGCAGCCGAUGUUCAAAAGUAAUAUAAAUCCUAUCAGUGUAAGGGCAGGGUAAUCACCCAAAUGUGUGUUCCUGAGGAACAUGAGCUUGAACUUAUGUAUCAUAUCAACCUUGUCCUCUUAGGUAAUCAGACUGUCUCUGUACCUACCAGGAACUUUGUCUCAUCAUCUUCAGGAAGGAACCAGUGUUUCUUUCCUGGUGUUGGAGAGGUUAACAAUAUUGUCUGAGUACUAAAUCACUGUGGACAGAGCAGUUGAACACCUUCCUGCUGCUCCUAUGGGAACUGACCUGUUCUGUGCAUGGGCUGGCUGGAUGCCAGUCCUUUCCAUCUGGCCCUUAGCAGAAGACCAGAGAAAUGCAGUUCUAUUUCAUUUGGCCAGCCCAGGUAGGAAAUUGGUCAUUGCCAUCUCACCAUUUGGUGGUGAUCAAUUUGACAAAAGUGAAGUGACAAUUCUUACACUUUCCCUAGCUGUUCUGCAGUAGGUUUCAGACAUGUUCCUGACUUCUGCUCUUUGGUCUCUCUUGCUCAAGUCUUGAAAGAUUUAUACCUUCAUUUGCUGGCUCUCUCAGCUGCCAGAUAUUGGCCCAAGGUGUAAUGAAAUUAAUUCACCUUUUGCAAAGCAGCAUUUAGAUUACAUCACAGCUCUGCCUUGGCCACAGCAGAGCCAUGCUUUGAUAGGAACCUCUCUGUCCAUGGAUGGAGACAUAACAGGCUUGUUUGGCCUGUGUCCCACUGCUGCAAACUGCUGAAUUUCUCAGUACUUUAGAGAUGAAAGUCUUCCCACUGGAAAUUCACCUUUGUCCUCUUUGGGGGCAGCUGUUUUUCCUUGGAAUCUCUCUCCCUAAACUUUGUUUAAAUAGUUCUAGAUCUUUCAGUUAUACUGAUUAUGACAGGCAACCUCCCUUUUUGUGUUUUUUUUUUCUUCUGCUACCAGCACCAUUUCCCUGAAUUUCUGUUCCUAGAGUCCUAGGAUCUCUGCAUCUUACAGUAAUGAGCAAAACAAGUCUGGCUGCUCAGGUGUCACAGGCAGUACUCCCUCAUUUUUGAAGUCUCCAGUGCAGUAGAAGGCAGCAGUUUGCUCUGGUGCACAUAGCUUUCCUCAUAAAUUACUUGUGGGUUGGUGGUUUGUGCAGCCGGUACAAGUGGAGCUUGGGGCAAACUGUACUGCUCUUCUUUAACCCUAAGGCUAAGUUUCUUACUCUGAAAUAAUCCCCAAGUCCCCUUGUUAAACUAGUCUUUUGAUUCCACACUGUUCAAAAUCUACGUUUCUAGGCUGUGGUGUGAAUUCCCAUGCAGUCCCAUGUAGUGUUUGCUGGGCCUUACCCUGGCACAGCAUUUUGUUAAGCCUCUUUCCACUGGAGUCCAGGCCAUAGCCUGAGGUCAUUGAAGAGUUUAUUUAUAUGGCCAUUGUUCUGCAAGUUGAAGGUAACUUCUUCUACAUCUGUGUGGGCCUUGAGUCAACAACUGUUCUUUUUCUCCCCCAUUUUUCAAGAAGCUAGCCUGCUAAGCCAAUACUUAAUGCAGGAGUCUUCAUAGUGGUAAGUACUAGAUUCUGCACCAGACAAGUGCCAUGAGUGCAGCAAAGUGUCUUUUUCACACAGCUGUGAGGUCUCCCAAGUUAACUGUUUGUAGCUUUAUUCUGUGUUUAUGUACAUGAAAAAAUGUAAAACUUUGCAUUGUAGAAAUGAGGUUUUCAGUGUCCAAGUGAAAUAAGCAGGCAGUGAAAAAUAAAUCUGAGACAUCACAAGUAAUCCCCAGGUGUUUACUGGUCCUGCCUUUAUCCUUUUUUUUUCUGGAAGGAAAAAAUGGCAUUGCCUUUGGAUGCAAAGUCCUCUGUCUAUCUCAUGAUGGAAGCUGCUGAUGUUCUAGGUCAGUGCUGGUCUACUGAACAUUCAACUUGGUACUUCUAAGAAGACUGGGUGCAGUUGCAAGCCCCAGUAAUCAGAUUGGCAUGGACCUCUUUUCCAUUGCCCUGAGUUUGUAGAAAGAAUUUCAAAGCAGUUUCCUGUAAUGAGCCUGAAGUCAUGUUGCCUCACAGCUUUUUGGUUCAUUGUUUCAUGUCAUGCCGUAUGCUGCCUCUGCUGUGUGAGGAGUUCUCAUUGUCUUCCAGUACAGAAUGGGAACUUCUGCUGUGAAAACAGAAUGCUGCUCCCUCCAACGUGGGGUGUUCUCCUUUAGACAGAUUAUGCCAGUCUCACUCCACAGAGAAGAGCUAUGUCAAAAAGCAUCAGAAGCAUUCCUUUUCUUGGGCAUGAGUUGUAUCUCCAUGUCAAUUCAAUACAAUCCAAGAACACAACCCUGAAGUCAAACAUUUAGAAGGAAGUGUUUUCCUCCUGGCUUCUCCUAGUAAGGACUUAUUCCCUAUAUGGCCUGGGGCAGCCCUAUUUCUUGUGUUCAUAGUUAACACAAGAAACAGGGCUGCCCCAGGUCAUACAGGGCAAGAAGCUGCACAAGAAGCUGCCCAGUUUCUCCAUAGUUUGUAUCAAGUAACAGAGCAAUUUGCUAACUAAAUGUAAGUAUCAUGAAGUUGGAACUCUCUUCAUUGAAGUGUCUUUCUCUCCUAUGUUGGAAAGCCUAAAUCCUGCAGUCCUUCUCUGGAACAGUAGUUCUAUAAACAGUCUGUGUAUCUGUCCUUACAAGACAUGCAGAGCAAGAUGUUCAAAGAUGAGCACCUAAACAUGUACUGGCAUAGCAGUUCAGAGACCUUUUCUGUAGUGCCAGGUGUCACUCUCUCGAUGUUUUGUUUUCAGGGAAUGUCACGUCAUGGAUUUAAAUUCAUUAGUUCACUCUAGGUACCAUUCUCAGUGAGACACUGUUUGUCAGAAAUUACUUUGUAAAUGAGUUUGCCGAAGAGUGGAAAGAGUGAUUGAGAGCAGGGAGACAUCUUGGAGUGAAUUGUCAGCAGGAUGGUGAACAGAGAGGAUCUUCUACUGCCAGUCAGGCUCCCAGUGUCCUGAGCCCAGGUUUGAUUAAUGAAUUAAUAACAUGAAAAAAAAUGUCACAGCUGUUACAGCAUUAUGUCACCACCUCAGUUCCACUGCAGAAAACAUUCUGUGCCUUGGCAGGAAAGACAGGCAGAAGAGCCUAUGAGAAGAUGGUAAAAAAGGAGCGAUUGUGAUGUCUUACAAGACUUUUCUUCACAAACUUGAAAGAGUUAUGGAUGGCAUGAAGUCAUUGUCAGAAAUUAAUAGUUUGGUCAAGGUUGGUCCACAGGGAUGCUGCAAAGGACCUGAGCCCAGAGGCUUUCUGCUCUGAACUGUAACUAUGAUGUUUUUAGUGGCUUUGACCAAUGUAAGGUGUGCAGGCUUCUUAACAAGGUAACUAACUAGUACAAUUCUUUUUAUGAAUAAAUAGUUUUUCCUCUCUCGUUA